GGCGGCUGCGGCACGCUACCCACCGGGAGAAACCAUAGAGUCUCCGGGCCGGCUUCCUCCUGCCUUUUUCACUCGGUGCGCCUGGCGGAAGGGAACGGAGGUGAUGCUCCUAAAGUCCUUGCUGGAAGCUACUCCAGUCAAUGAUUGUAUGGAAGCUCUUUGCAUAACUUUGAUGACGACCUUUGAUCAUUUUUAUCGUCCUGCGCAUCCUUAUCGCUGGAAGGACCAGAACUGCUCAAAAUAGCCAAGACCGUGGAUAUAUAAAUCAUGAUGAGUCUUUGCUGUGCAAAUGCAGCAGAGGAUGUGGGGAAGACACCCUUCCUCUGCUGGGCCUCCUUGGGCAGUACUGCCCCCACACAGACUAUCACCUGGGGAUUAGGAGGAUCAAGCUGGAAUCUGGGCCUUUCCCUGGAUCUGGACACCAUGGCAACCUUGAAUAAUGCUUUUGUCCACUCACGUAUUGAUUCUUUCAACUCUUUUUGUGCCCUUCCUCAGGCUUGGCCUACUUCAAGAAAUGGCUGCAUGUCUUCUCAGUGGCAAAACUGUUAUCAGUGUCACAUGAACAAAAUAACAUAUUCAGCCAUAAUCGUCUUCAGAGUGGAGACUUUUUUUUUGCCUGGCCUGCAGUGGGAUAGAUUCUUGUAUAGCUUUUCAUUUCUUGUUUUGUCCUAGAGCUUUGCUGGCCUUUAUUACUAGUCUUCCAGAAAGCAAUCUCAAGUGAUUUAUUGGCUGUUUAAGCACAGUGGGCACCAACUGGUAGUCAGCUUUCUGGAGUGAUGUCUCAGCUCCGGAAAUGCUAUUUACUACCUUAAAAAUAUAUAUAUUACUUAAAAUACUCUAGAAUGAUUAAUAAAGCCACAGUACCCUUCUAAUAUACAGUACAACAGGGAUCCACAUAAUUGAUAUGAUGCCAUGUAGCUUAGGUAGAUUGUCACAAAAGCCACAAGCGGCUAAAGAACGUGACCUUGGCUGAGAGGGGCAAAUCACCAAGUGCCCACUGCCUCCACAUCUGCAGUGGCUGAGGCCUCACACCGCCUUGGGUUAGUAUGUGCACCUGUCUCUAAUAAGAACGCUACUAAAAGGAGGUACAACCACUAAUUAUUAUCUGAGGGAAAGCUUUGAUACAUAUUUGCAUGUUAAUAAAUGUCUUUUUCUUAAUAAAUGAUCCAAGACUGACUCCUGGCUUUGCCAGUGCCUGCUCUGGUAGGAAGAAGAUGAACAUGGAUUGGCAGCUAACAGCCUCAGGCAGAGCUGAGUCAAGCCCAAUGCGCUUGCCCCGUUCUCCUCUGCCCCAGGAGAAGAUGUUUCCCUUUCUGAUCUCCUCUCCCUCCUGCAGCCCGUGGUACAGGCUGACUGCAAGGGUACGUCAGCCCAGCAUUCAUCCAAACGCGCCCUGCUGCUGCAUGAAAAACAUGCCACACAAGUGUCCUAAACUACACUGGGUCCCAAGACCAUGUGCACUAAUAAGAAAACAAAACUGGCAGUCAACGAUAGGUGCAGUAUAUCCAUACACUGCACGCAUAUGAGCUUUACCAGUGUACAUUUAUCCUUCUAUAAAAUUGGCUUCUGUGUUGGUUCAGGAACAAAAGAAAAAGAAGUUCUUACAGUAGCCCAACACCCCAAUUUGAUUAAAGGUAUAAUACGCUUUUAGUGUAAAUUAUAGCCUUAAAGUUAAAGGGUAAUUUUUCACCACUGGAUGGCAGAAUCUUCCUCUUGUCUAACAAUAUAAUAGCAUAACAUUUUUCUAAAAUUAAAGUAAAAUUGGAACUGUCAUACUCAAUCACGUAUCUGAUGACAGUAGAAGGAUCUACUGGAAAUGCAAUUGCACGGAGGCAAAAAUUAUAUUUUUUACAAACUUUUUCCUGACUAUAACAUCUGACAUCUUAAUAUCUGUCCUGAUCACAUGAAUUACAGAGCUUUUGAUCUUCUACAGAUUUGUCAGUGUCCUCCAACUUUGCCCACUUGGUCGAUGUGAUGCUCAUCUUUAUAUUGAAUUUUUUUUUUCUUGAAUCCCUUAUUGUGCCAAGAUUUAGUGUUUGAAUUACAGACAUCACCUCACACUUGGAAGAUGUGUUCAGAAAGAUGCUGCAGAGUUGGCAAUAUUAUAACCUCUUAAAAAACAAAACAAAAUACUAGUUACAGAUACUAAGACUCAAGUGAUACAGAGUUUGGGCAAAUCAUGGCAAUAUUUUUAAAGAAGAAUAUUCUACUGAGGGGAUGCUGUAUUUUGAAAUCAUUGUUGAAACUUCUCAGGAGUUACUGAAAAACUGUAAACUUCCAAUAGAGAAAAAUAAAUGCUCAAAUCUGCCAUUUCUCCAGUUAUGUACAGUAUACACUAAACAGCUUCACUGAACUAUGCUUGAGCAAAAGGAGAAUUAGGGAAAUGCGCUAAGAAUUCACCGCUGCCAUGGGGAAAGCAAACUUUAUUGUUAACCACUGAGGGUUUUUGUAUUAGUUUUUAUAAAGAAACUAAAUUUCUGUCAGGAAAAUAGUGUUGCUGUGUGAGACUAUCAGAAGAGACCAUUAAGUAAUCCUGAUUCUUGGUAGGGAUCUAAAGCUCUGAUUAUU